rnacentral:misc_RNA from 1 species
AACCUUAUGGACCUGCGGGCGUAUACCUGCGGAAGGAUCAUUAUAGAGUUUUCUAAACUCCCAACCCAUGUGAACUUACCAUUGUUGCCUCGGCAGAAGCUGCUCGGUGCACCCUACCUUGGAACGGCCUACCCUGUAGCGCCUUACCCUGGAACGGCUUACCCUGUAACGGCUGCCGGUGGACUACCAAACUCUUGUUAUUUUAUUGUAAUCUGAGCGUCUUAUUUUAAUAAGUCAAAA